UACGGAGGGGGCUAGCGUUAUUCGGAAUUACUGGGCGUAAAGCGCACGUAGGCGGAUUAGAAAGUCAGAGGUGAAAUACCAGGGCUCAACCUUGGAACUGCCUUUGAAACUCCUAGUCUUGAGAUCGUGAGAGGUGAGUGGAAUUCCGAGUGUAGAGGUGAAAUUCGUAGAUAUUCGGAGGAACACCAGUGGCGAAGGCGGCUCACUGGCACGAUACUGACGCUGAGGUGCGAAAGCGUGGGGAGCACGCAGG
rnacentral:rRNA from 1 species